AUGAACGCUGGCGGCGUGCCUAAUCCAUGCAAGUCGAGCGAACAGACGAGGAGCUUGCUCCUCUGACGUUAGCGGCGGACGGGUGAGUAACACGUGGAUAACCUACCUAUAAGACUGGGAUAACUUCGGGAAACCGGAGCUAAUACCGGAUAAUAUAUUGAACCGCAUGGUUCAAUAGUGAAAGACGGUUUUGCUGUCACUUAUAGAUGGAUCCGCGCCGCAUUAGCUAGUUGGUAAGGUAACGGCUUACCAAGGCAACGAUGCGUAGCCGACCUGAGAGGGUGAUCGGCCACACUGGAACUGAGACAAGGUCCAGACUCCUACGGGAGGCAGCAGUAGGGAAUCUUCCGCAAUGGGCGAAAGCCUGACGGAGCAACGCCGCGUGAGUGAUGAAGGUCUUCGGAUCGUAAAACUCUGUUAUUAGGGAAGAACAAAUGUGUAAGUAACUAUGCACGUCUUGACGGUACCUAAUCAGAAAGCCACGGCUAACUACGUG
rnacentral:rRNA from 1 species